rnacentral:ncRNA from 1 species
UAGAUAAAUUUUUUAUAUUUUUGUUAAUUUAUUAUGAAUUUAUUUUACAUAUAAAUUUUAGUAUAAAAUUUUAAUUAUUUUAAAAAUAAUUAAUUUAAUUAUAUAGUAAUUAAAAUUAAAAAUUUAAGAAAUUAAGAUUUAGUAAUAUUUAAAUUAAUAACUAAUUUUGUGCCAGCAGUUGCGGUUAAACAAAAGUUAAAUUAAAUUAUUUCAGUAUGUAAUAAAUAAUAAAUAAUUUAAAAUUAAAUAUUAAAUUGUUAAGUGAAAUUUUAAUUUAAUUAAAAAUUAUUUUUAAAUUAUGAUUUAAUAAAUUUUAUUAUAAACUAGGAUUAGAUACCCUAUUAUUAAAAAUUUAAUUUAAAAUACUAAAAUAGUAAAUAAAAUAUUAUUGAAACUUAAAUAAUAUGGCGGUAUUUUAGUUCAUUUAGAGGAAUCUGUCUAAUAAUUGAUAAUCCACGAAUAAAUUUACUUAAUUUAUAAUUUUAUAUAUCGUUGUAAAAAAAAUAUUUUUAAAUAAAAAUAAUAUUUUAAAAUUUAAAAUAAAAUUUAAUUCAGAUCAAGAUGUAGAUUAUAAUUAAGUUUAAGAUGGAUUACAAUAAAUUUAUUUAAAUGAAAAGGAUUUUGUAAAAUUUAGUUGAAGGUGGAUUUAAAUGUAAUUUUAAUUAGUUUAUUAAAAUGAUUAAAAAUUGAAAUAUGUACAUAUUGCCCGUCACUUUCAUUUUAAAAUUGAAAUAAGUCGUAACAAAGUAGAAGUACUGGAAAGUGUUUCUAGAAUGAU